CUGGUUGUAGGCUUCCCCACAUGUCACAUCUCAGCUCUGCCACUUCUUGUUUGCCUGUGUAAAAUAGUGACAAUGACAACUCCUGCUUCACAAAUUGCUGAGAGAAUUGAGUAAGAGUCCUGUGGGAAGGACUUGCCCAGUGUCUGUCACUUUGGUUCCUAUAAAGUGACUUCCUUCUCCUUUGUGCCACCUGGGCCAAUGAUGCCUGAGAAGAAAAGACUCCCCAGGAGGAAUGUUCCACAAGGGGUGCCAGCAGCCACCGUUGGCGACAGGAAGGGGCACUUUAGUCUACGGAGUAGGGAAGAGCAGAGAGCAGGAGGUGUGGGGUCAGUUAGCUGUGGUUCCAAUGACAGAUAGCCCCACCACUUCUUAAAGAGGGCUCGGCUUCCUGUCUACAGGCUGCACAGAGCAGAGAGACUUCAACUUGAGAGGCAAAACUUACGACUUACUCCUGUCAUUUCCAAUGCUGGGUGAGAUCUCAGGAUGUGCUGACUGACUGACUGACCUCAUCACAGCAGGAACAGAAAAGGAUGAUGGUAUGACCCCUUUCACAAGGCCAGGCAGGGGAUCUGGAUCACAAAAGCUGGCUCUACUGAUGGUCAUGGAGGUCAAGGGGGCCGUUCUUAAGGCCGAAGCUGCCAAUAGCUCAUGCAGAUGGCUCACCUGGCGGGGUCUGCACCAGCCUGUCAACCCUGCUACACGUCGCCAAGUACUCUUUGCAGCAUCUGCUGAAAGGACAAAGUCUGGUCCCAGAAGCUGAGGGGACAGAGGAAUGCUUAGUGAUGGAGCCCACUCUAUGGAUCGGCGUCAGCCUCACAGUAUAGUCACGCCUCUCAGAGGGUGAGAGUCCGCUUCACCCCUCCCUGGCAGCUCUCCCUGCUUCAUUCUCCACAUUGGAGCUCUUCCCCCUGAAGACUCUCACUCCAUUCUGAGUAGUGGCAGAGUCCAACCUUGGCCACAAGGCUCCGUGUGACCUGGCUGUCCUCUCAAGCAGGCUGAGCACUCUUGGUUUCCUCUGCCUGGCUCAUCCCUCAGGUCUCCAUGCUGUGUUCAAUUAUCUUUGUGGCCUUCCCCAAUCACCCUCUGACGUAUAUGCCCACUUGGUUAAUCAAUGUCUGUCUACCCCAGUAAAUGUGCAUGAGGGCAGGACUUUCUUUGCUGUUGAACUAUCCAUUUCUAAAAUGGUGCCCGGCACACAGUAGGUACACAAUGAGCAUGUGGGUGGAUAGAAGGGAUGAAAUGAGGACUCUCCCUCCACAUCACUCUGCUUGACCUCGGUGACUCUGGGCUGUGCUCCCGGCCUGAUGCAGAUGAGGCAGCUACACUUGUCUCUGUACCAUGGAGACAUUUUUAAUCCUUUUUAUUUUCAUGUAUUUUGAAAGCA
rnacentral:lncRNA from 1 species